rnacentral:lncRNA from 1 species
UUUUGGCUAUCAACUAGGGUUUUGGUCAAAGUUAGUUUGUGACUGACUUUUUGAGCAAAACUUGUUUCCAUGGUCCUAUAUAUGUCUCAAAGCAUUCGUGUGUGAAGUUUUGAUCAUUGGAUUUAAUAAGAAGAAGCUCAAUUGAUCAAGAGAGAGGAUGAAUUAAUUGUGUAGAACAAAAGUCAAUUGUGCAACCAAAAAGUCAACUCCUGACUUUUUAAGUCCAAACUUGUGUCUCAUGAGUCAAAUAUGGAAAAUGGUUGAGAUUU